rnacentral:misc_RNA from 1 species
UACGAAGGGAGCAAGCGUUGUUCGGAAUUACUGGGCGUAAAGGGCGCGUAGGCGGAUGCAUCAGUCAGGGGUGAAAGCCUUGGGCUCAACCUGAGAACUGCCUUUGAUACUGUGCAUCUAGAGUUUGUGAGAGGGUGGCGGAAUACCCAGUGUAGAGGUGAAAUUCGUAGAUAUUGGGUAGAACACCAGUGGCGAAGGCGGCCACCUGGCACAAUACUGACGCUGAGGCGCGAAAGCGUGGGGAGCAAACAGG